rnacentral:lncRNA from 1 species
UUGUGAUUAGGAUUUAGGAUUAGGGUUUGGUUAGGAUUUGGUUUAGGAUUUAGGAUUUGAUUAAGAUUAGGGUUUGGUUAAGAUUAGGAUUUGGUUAGGAUUUAGAGUUAGGAUUUGACUAGGAUUUGAUUAGGAUUUAUUUAGGAUUUGACUAGGAUUUGUUUAGGGUUUGGAAUUGAUUAGGAUUUGUUAGGAUUAGGAUUUGUCUAAGAUUUGAUUAGGGUAUAUUUAGGAUUUAGGGUUUUUCUAGGAUUUGAUUAAGGUUGGAUUAGGAUUAAGAUUUGGUUAGAAUUUAAGGUUUAUUUAGAUUUUUGUUAGGGUUUGACUAAAUUUUCUUUAAUAUUCUUUUAUAUUUCUUUAGGAUUUCCUUGUGUUUCUUUUAUAACUUCAAUAAAAUUCAAUUGAGCUUGCUUAAUGUUGGAUUAUGGUUUUUAACAUUUAAUUAUAAUUUUUCUAUAAUUUUAUUGGAUUGUUAGGACCUUUUGUUGUAAUUUUCUUUUACCU